CUGUGCACCUGUGAGACAGUAGGGGAUUUUUAAUUUAAUUUAAUUGGACCCUCUGUCUACUUAAUUCAUAUAAAAUCAAUUUAAUUAAAAAUGAAUGUAAUUGAUGUAACGCAUCUAAUACUAAGUUUCAACAACGGAUCUCUUGGCUCUCGCAUCGAUGAAGAACGCAGCGAAAUGCGAUAAGUAAUGUGAAUUGCAGAAUUCAGUGAAUCAUCGAAUCUUUGAACGCACCUUGCGCUCCUUGGUAUUCCUUGGAGCAUGCCUGUUUGAGUAUCAUGAAAUCUUCAAAGUAAAUCUUUUGUUAAUUCAAUUGGUUCUGCUUUGGUAUUGGAGGUUAUUGCAGCUUCACAACUGCUCCUCUUUGUGCAUUAGCUGGAUCUCAGUGUUAUGCUUGGUUCCACUCAGCGUGAUAAGUAUCUAUCGCUGAGGACACUGUAACAGGUGGCCAAGGUAAAUGCAGAUGAACCGCUUCUAAUAGUCCAUUAAUUUGGACAAUAUUUUUAUGAUCUGAUCUCAAAUCAGGUAGGACUACCCGCUGAACUUAAGCAUAUCAUAAAGGGGAAAGAAAAAAG
rnacentral:rRNA from 1 species